rnacentral:lncRNA from 1 species
AGCAUAAUUAACUCCGUAGUCUUACUUUAUUUUAGAGAAUGAAAUUGAUGUAUGAAUGCUUGCAUAGUUAAUGUUAUUGUUAUGCUAAUUGUUAAAAUGUUUAACAAAAGGAUAUUUAUUUGAGCAGUGUUCCACAAAUCGAGUGUUAAAAUGCUGACUGUUCAUAUUAAGGUUAAUUACAUAGUUAGUCUUGAUUCAGUUAAGGUGAUACUACUAUGGAAUUAAAUAUAAACAGAAAAGUACAUGUAUCUGGUCCAAUAAUGGAUCAAAUUUGUGUACUUUUUUUGUUUAUAUUUAAGUCCAAAGAGAACAUCACUUGGACUAGAAGGAAAUUAAAUUGAUAAACAAGAGAAAAAGUUGAAUUAGCGACAGAUAAUUAUAGUCGAAAAAACAUGAAAUUCAGCUUUAAUUUUGUUGCUGAGUGUUAAAGAUGCAAAAAUUGGUGAUUGAUUUCAUUUUCCUUUCUUACUGUUAUUGUACUAAAGUUAAAUGAAAUCUUAUUAUCUUUUUAUACUCUUUUGUACUAAAGUUAAAUGAAAUCUUAUUAUCUUUUUAUACUCUUUUGCAAGUGCUGGUUCCCUUCGGAGUUUGAGACUACCAAG